rnacentral:miRNA from 1 species
UGCCCAUCUCUAACCGGAAGGGAUUCCUUCCGGUUGAUGAGGUGUAACAACCCCAUUGACCCGAAGGAAUUCCUUCUGAUCGAUGAGGUGUAACAGCCUCAUUGAAGGGAAGGAAUCCCUUCCAGUCAAUGAGGCA